rnacentral:rRNA from 1 species
UACGGGGGGGGCAAGCGUUGUUCGGAAUUACUGGGCGUAAAGGGCUCGUAGGCGGCCAACUAAGUCAGACGUGAAAUCCCUCGGCUUAACCGGGGAACUGCGUCUGAUACUGGAUGGCUUGAGUUUGGGAGAGGGAUGCGGAAUUCCAGGUGUAGCGGUGAAAUGCGUAGAUAUCGAGAGGAACGCCUGCGGCGAAGGCGGGUUGCUGGGCUGACACUGACGCUGAUGCGCGAAAGCCAGGGGAGCGAACGGG